rnacentral:rRNA from 1 species
UACGUAGGCAGCAAGCGUUGUUCGGAGUUACUGGGCGUAAAGAGUGCGUAGGCGGUCCUGUAAGUUUGGUGUGAAAUCUCCCGGCUCAACUGGGAGGGUGCGCCGAAGACUGCAGGGCUGAGUUAUGGGAGAGGUAAGCGGAAUUCCUGGUGUAGCGGUGAAAUGCGUAGAUAUCUGGAGGAACACCGGUGGCGAAGGCGGCAUCCUGGACCGGCAUUGACGCUGAGGCGGCGAAAAGCUAGGGGAGCAAACGGGG